AUAAUAAUAAUAAUAAUAAUAAUAAUAAUAAUAAUAUAGAUUAUGAAUAUUUUAAUUAUUACUUUAGAUAAUUAUGAUUAUUAUUUUAAAAUGUUGUUAUAUAGUAUGAGAUUUGGGGUUUAGUUGUUGGUAGGAUUAUUGAUUUUCUUAAGGCAAAAUCCAAAAUCAUUUAAUAGGCAAAAUCUAAACCGUUAGAUGAUUAGAAUCAAGGGCACAUAAGAAAGCAAUACAAAGCACAUGGAUCAUCAAUAUUACCCGUUGGAUACAAAUCACAAAAGAAGCUAAACCGUUAGAUCGUCUUUUAACCUAUCACCUUUUCCCUCAUCUCUCUCCAAACCCAUAUUUCCUGCCCAGCCUCCCUUCUAGUUCCUACUUCUCUCAACUCAUGUUAUCAUCUCAAAUGUAGUAUUUUUUUCGUCUGUAAAGUCGAGUUCAAGAUGGAGGGUUUUGGAAGCGCAGAGGUGGUGCAAUACGGCUAGAUUGUAUGAAGCUUGAAGCACCGAAGAAAAGAACAUCCCAUAUGUAGAUUCAUAUGUUACUGAGGAUUAUAAUAAUGAUCCAAUGAUGGAAAAUAUAGUUUUCAAUCUGAUUUUUGAUUUUCUCUCUCUUCGUUGCUCGCUUCAUCAUUUUCUUAUUCUCCAAACAUACAUAAAGUCGAGUUCAAGAUGGUGUAAAUUAUGGUUAUAUGAUGAACUAUGUGUUUGUUUGCUUCUUCUGGAUCUCUUUAUUUAUUAGCAAUUUGAUUUUAAAGCUUAGAUUUGUAUUUGCACUUGACUGAUAUAUAUCACCGGCGGAGGCAUAAGCACCGAUCGACGUCUAGCGGUAGCAACAACGACAGAUCAGCAACAUCGAACAAGAACAGGGAAGAGAGAAAAUUCACAACGUGCAGCCGACAACAAGCAAGGCCUGCCACAGCUCUAACGACCAAACGAGUCGCGACUUAGCGACUGGUGGUAGGUCCGACUUCCGAGGAACCACCGCAGAUCUAAAGACCAGGUUAUGUAGAAGAUUUGAGCUAGAAGUUGAAGAAACAUCUUUCUUGCAAAUUUUUAAGUGAAGAAUGAAGAUGCAACAUCAAGCACUAAAUUUUUUUUUUUUUUUUGCCCAAAUUUCUGUAAAUUACUUAAUUGUAGAUUCAUUUCUUUAUUUUUCUGGAUGUAAAGUUAAACAAUCAAUUCAAAUUUGCUGUAACUUUUUCUUCAUUGUAUAUGCUUUAACUUCUACUUCAAUAAGAAUGAAUUUCAUAUUCA